rnacentral:tRNA from 1 species
GCCGAGGUCUCCUAGUCUGGAAGGGAGCAGAAGUUUGCUCAAGCCUGGAGAGCCUGUGCCCAUAAUGGGCUCGGGGGUUCAAAUCCCCCCCUCGGCGCCA